GUGAUCACCGGAAAAACAAGGCGCUAUAUCUCGGGAACGAAAACAGUACAAACCGGCCCAAACGCAGCACUAACGGAUGAGGUGGGUUUAAUCGUUUGUGCUGUCUGUAGGGGGGCUGACUUCAUGGAGCUCAAGGAUCCAGCUCCCGGGAGUGAGGCAGCACCUCCCAGCGAGUCAGCGAGUCUUCUUCCUUCUCUACCCCUGAGGGCCCAGCCCAGUCCUCAGGCAGCGAGCCACUCACCUGGUGAAGAAAGAGCACUUCAGAUUGCUGAAGGUCCCACUGGACACCAGAACGACCGUUUUCCCGGCGGCGGUCUUCC